GACGAACGCUGGCGGCGUGCUUAAUACAUGCAAGUCGAGCGGAAAGGCCCUUCGGGGUACUCGAGCGGCGAACGGGUGGAUAACACGGGAGUACGCUGCCACCGUAUUUGGGAGAAUCCUCGAACACGGGGAAACCUGAGCGAUACGACACAACUUCUCUUAGGCUCAUGGUUGAAAAGUUAUCGGUUGUGGAUGGGCUACCGGUCGAUCGGCUUGCUGUUGGGGUGAUAGCUUGCCAAGGAGACGACGGCUAGCCGGCCUGAGAGUGGGACCGGCCACACGGGGACUGAGACACGGCCCAGACUCCUACGGGAGGCAGCAGUGGGGAAUAUUGCGCAAUGGGCGGAAGCCUGAUGCAGCGACGCCGCGUGAGUGAUGACGGCCUUCGGGUUGUAAACCUCUUUCAGCGUGGACGAAGCGUAAGUGACGGUACCUGCAGAAGAAGCGCCGGCUAACUACGUG
rnacentral:rRNA from 1 species